GAUGAACGCUGGCGGCGUGCUUAACACAUGCAAGUCGAACGACUAAAGCCCCUUCGGGGGUGUAUAGAGUGGCGAACGGGUGAGUAACACGUGACCAACCUACCUCUUACAUUGGGAUAACGUGGAGAAAUCCAUGCUAAUACCGGAUACUCCUUUCUCAUCGCAUGAUGAGACCGGGAAAGCUCCGACGGUGAGAGAUGGGGUCGCGGUCUAUUAGCUAGUUGGUGAGGUAACGGCGCACCAAGGCGAGGAUAGAUAGCCGGGUUGAGAGACCGACCGGGCACAUUGGGGCUGAGACACGGCCCCAACUCCUACGGGGGGCAGGAGUGGGGAAUUUUUCGAAAUGGGCGAAAGCCUGACGCAGCAACGCCGCGUGCGGGAUUGAAGGCCUUCGGGUCGUAAAGCGCUUUCAGUAGGGAAGAUAAUGACGGUACCUACAGAAGAAGCUCCGGCUAAAUACGUGCCAGCCGCCGCAGUAAGAC
rnacentral:rRNA from 1 species